ACCUACGGGAGGCAGCAGUGAGGAAUAUUGGUCAAUGGGCUUACGCCUGAACCAGCCAAGUCGCGUGAGGGAAGACGGUCCUAUGGAUUGUAAACCUCUUUUGUCGGGGAGCAAAGAGACCACGUGUGGUCAAAAGCGAGAGUACCCGAAGAAAAAGCAUCGGCUAACUCCGUGCCAGCAGCCGCGGUAAUACGGAGGAUGCGAGCGUUAUCCGGAUUUAUUGGGUUUAAAGGGUGCGUAGGCGGGACGGUAAGUCAGCGGUAAAAAUGCGGAGCUCAACUCCGUCGAGCCGUUGAAACUGUCGU
rnacentral:rRNA from 1 species